GAAGAAGUGGAGGAAGAAAAACAAAACACGGUGCCUACUUUUAAAACAAUUUAAAACUGAGAUGGGCUUGUUGCAUGGUUGACAAUGUGCAGCUGUGAAUUCAAUUUACAAAUAUUCAGGUCGUGUGGGACAUCACUAAUGCCACAGGGGGACUGUGAGUUGCUGCGUGUCACCUUCAGCUUGCAGAUCUCAGCGGAAGAUAGAUGACAGACCACCUUACAUUCUACUGAAGAAGACUAUUUCCUCUGAGCUUCAGAGAAGGGGGCUGUUCUAAUGAAUAUCCGCUUCUAUCGCUUACUAUACCCUUGUUUCAUACAUUAUAUGUUAUGGAACAACUGCAUCCAUCAAGUUCAAGAACCUAUUAGAUGUCCAGCCAGGGCAUCUCUCCGGCGACAAGCAUAGCUGCAAACGGGACAUUUAAAAGGCUUCUCUCCCGAAUGCAACUUGAUGUGGCGCAACAAGUUCCCCUUCUGGGUGAAGGAAGCUCCACACUGGUUACACUGGAACGGCCUCUCGCCUGGGAACACAUGGAUGGACAGAGGAUUUUAGAGCGUACUCUGCACUCCCUUCUUCCAUGGGGUCCCCUCUGUCAUCCCUCCUGCUAUCGUCCCUCACAGCCUCUCUGAUCUCUGGCCGUGGAGCACCUGGGGACUCCUCAUCGC